rnacentral:rRNA from 1 species
UACGUAGGCAGCGAGCGUUGUUCGGAGUUACUGGGCGUAAAGAGUGUGUAGGCGGUGCUCUAAGUCUGUUGUGAAAUCUCCCGGCUUAACUGGGAGGGUGCGGCGGAGACUGGAGUGCUAGAGUGUGGGAGAGGUAAGCGGAAUUCCUGGUGUAGCGGUGAAAUGCGUAGAUAUCAGGAGGAACACCUGUGGUGUAGACAGCUUACUGGACCACGACUGACGCUGAGACACGAAAGCGUGGGUAGCAAACAGG